GACGAACGCUGGCGGCGUGCUUAACACAUGCAAGUCGGACGGGAUUUAUUCGACGAACCUAAGUAGUUUACUAUGAGGGGGAGUUGGGUAAAUUUAGUGGCGGACGGGUGAGUAACGCGUGAGGAUCUAUCCAUUACUGGGGGACAACAGCUGGAAACGGCUGCUAAUACCGCAUAAGCCUUUGGGUGAAAGAAGCGAUUCGGUAUAGGAGGAACUCGCGUCCUAUCAGCUAGUAGGUGGGGUAACGGCCCACCUAGGCGAAGACGGGUAGCCGGCCUGAGAGGGCGCACGGCCACACUGGAACUGAGAUACGGUCCAGACUCCUACGGGAGGCAGCAGUGGGGAAUAUUGGGCAAUGGGCGAAAGCCUGACCCAGCGACGCCGCGUGAAUGAAGAAAUCCUUCGGGAUGUAAAGUUCUGUUGUACGGGAAGAGCGAGAGACGGUACCGUACGAGGAAGCCCCGGCAAACUACGUGCCAGCAGCCGCCGUAACAC
rnacentral:rRNA from 1 species